rnacentral:lncRNA from 1 species
CCCCUCUCCCUCUCGGUCUCCCUCUCCCUCUCUUUCCACGGUCUCCCUCUGAUGCCGAGCCGAAGCUGGACUGUACUGCUGCCAUCUCGGCUCACUGCAACCUCCCUGCCUGAUUCUCCUGCCUCAGCCUGCCGAGUGCCUGCGAUUGCAGGCACGCGCCACCACGCCUGACUGGUUUUCGUACUUUUUUGGUGGAGACGGGGUUUCGCUGUGUUGGCCGGGCUGGUGUCCAGCUCCGAACCACGAGUGAUCCGCCAGCCUUGGCCUCCCGAGGUGCCGGGAUUGCAGACGGAGUCUGGUUCACUCAGUGCUCAAUGGUGCCCAGGCUGGAGUGCAGUGGCGUGAUCUCAGCUCGCUACAACCUCCAUCUCCCAGCCGCCUGCCUUGGCCUCCCAAAGUGCCGAGAUUGCAGCCUCUGCCCGGCCACCACCCCGUCUGGGAAGUGAGGAGCGUCUCUGCCUCGCCGCCCAUCGUCUGGGACGUGAGGAGCCCCUCUGCCUGGCUGCCCAGUCUGGAAAGUGAGGAGCGUCUCUGACCGGCCGCCAUCCCAUCUAGGAAGUGAGGAGCGCCUCUUCCCGGCAGCCAUCCCAUCUGGGAAGUGAGGAGCGUCUCUGCCCGGCCGCCCAUCGUCUGAGAUGUGGGGAGCGCCUCUGCCCCGCCGCCCCGUCUGGGAUGUGAGGAGCGCCUCUGCCCGGCCGCGACCCCGUCUGGGAGGUGAGGAGCGUCUCUGCCCAGCCGCCCUGUCUGAGAAGUGAGGAGACCCUCCGCCCAGCAUCCGCCCCAUCUGAGAAGUGAGGAGCCCCUCCGCCCGGCAGCCGCCCCGUCUGAGAAGUGAGGAGUCCCUCUGCCCGGCAGCCGCCCCGUCCGGGAGGGAGGUGGGGGGGUCAGCCCCCCACCCGGCCAGCCGCCCUGUCCGGGAGGUGAGGGGCGCCUCUGCCCGGCCGCCCCUACUGGGAAGUGAGGAGCGCCUCUGCCCAGCCAGCCGCCCCGUCCGGGAGGGAGGUGGGGGGGGUCAGCCCCCCGCCCGGCCAGCCGCCCCGUCCGGGAGGGAGGUGGGGGGGUCAGCCCCCCGCCCGGCCAGCCGCCCCGUCCGGGAGGUGAGGGGCGCCUCUGCCCGGCCACCCCUACUAGGAAGUGAGGAGCCCCUCUGCCCAGCCACCACCUCGUCUGGGAGGUGUACCCAACAGCUCAUUGAGAACGGGCCGGGAUGACAAUGGCGGUUUUGUGGAAUAGAAAGGGGGGAAAGGUGGGGAAAAGAUUGAGAAAUCGGAUGGUUGCCAUGUCUGUGUAGAAAGAAGUAGAUGUGGGAGACUUUUCAUUUUGUUCUGUACUAAGAUAAAUUCUUCUGCCUUGGGAUCCUGUUGAUCGGUGACCUUACCCCCAACCCUGUGCUCUCUGAAACAUGUGCUGUGUCCACUCAGGGUUAAAUGGAUUAAGGGCGGUGCAAGAUGUGCUUUGUUAAACAGAUGCUUGAAGGCAGCAUGCUUGUUAAGAGUCAUCACCACUCCCUAAUCUCAAGUACCCAGGGACACAAACACUGCGGAAGGCCGCAGGGUCCUCUGCCUAGGAAAACCAGAGACCUUUGUUCACUUGUUUAUCUGCCAACCUUCCCUCCACUAUUGUCCUAUGACCCUGCCAAAUCCCCCUCUGCGAGAAACACCCAAGAAUGAUCAAUAAAAAAAAUAAAAAUUAAAAAAAAAA